UUGUUAAUAUUUUUGUAAUCAGAUAAAAUACAGUAUCUUGUGGUUGUGUUAUUCAUCUAUACUUUAUUGUUGGUGAUAAAUCUUUCUCCGACUGAUUGACUUGUUCUAUCUGUUUUCUUGUGAUUUUGUGGGUGAUUGCUGACAAGAAAAUUAUCGUCUGAAAAUUGAACGGAUACUUUGAAUAUUUACAUUAGAGUACUGAACGUAUGUGAGAUCUAUUGUACCUGUGGUAUCUAAAAUGGAUAAGAAUUUUCUUUAUUAAAUUUGGAAUGGUAAAAGGUUCAAUUUCGAAACAUUGUAG
rnacentral:misc_RNA from 1 species